ACAUGUUUUAGUAUUAUUGUUAUUUAAAUUUAAGCAAAUUUCUGCCCAUUAUUCACAGUCAUCUAGGAAUGAAUCAGCUAUUCGGCAGCAUUCCAUCUAAACUUUUCCACUUGAACAUGAAUCUGAUACAUGCAUAAGUUUCCAAAUUGUAAUCUUUGAUGUUACGAACGACAAAACUUAGUCAUUAAUUAGCAUAUUUUGACUUCAUGUGGAGCAUUUGAUUCAGUUGUUGUGACACUAGGCGAUCCUAUGUUCCAACUAAUGCCAAUUUGGACAUUAUCUUGUUAUAGUCUCUAAUAAAUAAUUAUACUUUUAUAUUGAGCAAGAUUUUUUAUAUCAACAAACUCACUGGAAGCAUCCCUGACACACUAGGAUAUGUGCAGACUUUGGAGGCCAUGUGAGUAUCUAUGUCAUGUACUCUAGAAACUUCUUACUAAGCUUCUUACAGAAACCAUUCUGUGAUUGGCUUUCAUGUUCCUAUAGUAACAAAUUUGGUUUCUUGUUUUGGAUUGAAACUUUUGCCUUGCAAACAGAUGCUUCAAUUGGAUUUCAUUAAAUGGGCCUGUUCCUUCAAACCUCAACAACCUUACGAGUGUCAGGGAGCUGUAAGUACACACACAGAAAAUUUUCCAACUUCAUGUAGAAUUCAAGUUGUGUCAUUAAGAAAGUGUUUUGGUUAUGCCUUUUCAGGUACUUGUCGAACAAUAAUUUGAAUGGACCUUCGCCCAAUCUCACAGGGAUGAACUUUCUCAACUCUCUGGACAUGAGCAACAAUAGUUUCAAUUCAUCAGCUGUUCCUCUAUGGCAUACAAGCCUAGAGGCUUUGACGACAUUGUACCAUCUUAAUCCUCAUCAUCUGUUGAUCUAGUUCUCACUAAUAGUUUAGGGGAUCUUGGAAUAAUUAAAUAU